GGCAUGCCUUACACAUGCAAGUCGAACGGUAACAGGUCUUCGGACGCUGACGAGUGGCGAACGGGUGAGUAAUACAUCGGAACGUGCCCAGUCGUGGGGGAUAACUACUCGAAAGAGUAGCUAAUACCGCAUACGAUCUGAGGAUGAAAGCGGGGGACCUUCGGGCCU
rnacentral:rRNA from 1 species